CAUCGAGGUGAAAACGAAGUGAAUUGUUUCAUCGCAAGAUGAAAAUUUUUACAGUGUACAUUGUAAAAAACAGGGACCCUAACAUCUAUAAUAAGAUUAUGGUAACCUGCAGCCAAGCACAAUAAUUUAUUUAUUCUGCACGACUUACCAUGCUAAUAAUUCCUUUAUUGAAAGGUUAGAAGAUGAUAAACGUGAUAAAUAUAUAUUGUGAAGGUUCAGAGACUAUCCCUGCCUGAAUUCUUUCUAAAAGAGUGAAUGGCCUUUGUACGGGAGUACUGUCCUAGUUAAUUCAAAAUUAACAGGGAUAGGAAGCGCUUCGCACCCUAACGUCCUGUCAUAUAUGGGCAGGUUUUCUCAAAAUUUCCUUUUGGGAUAUUGGCGAGGGUGAUGAUAUAGUCCACGCGCUAGUGAAAACUAGGG
rnacentral:ncRNA from 1 species